GAUGAAGAACGCAGUGAAAUGCGAUAAGUAGUGUGAAUUGCGGAAUUCAGUGAAUCAUCGAAUCUUUGAACGCACAUUGCGCCCUUUGGUAUUCCUUAGGGCAUGCCUGUUCGAGCGUCAUUUAAACCUUCAAGCUAAGCUUGGUGUUGGGUGACUGUCCGCUUCACGGCGGACUCGCCUCAAAAUUAUUGGCGGCCGGUACAUUGGCUUCGAGCGCAGCAGAAACGCGAACUCGGGCCCGUCGUAUUGGCUCCCAGAAGCUAUCUUCACAAUUUUGACCUCGGAUCAGGUAGGGAUACCCGCUGAACUUAAGCAUAUCAAUAAGCGGAGGA
rnacentral:misc_RNA from 1 species